UAUAGGUAACAUGCCUUUUAGUAGGGGAUAACAGAUGGAAACGUCUGCUAAUACCCUAUAUUCCUUAUUAGCGUAAGCGUGUAAGGGAAAGAUUUAUUGCUAAAAGAUUGGCCUAUAUUGUAUCAGCUAGUUGGUAGUGUAAUGGACUACCAAGGCUAUGACGCAUAACUGGUUUGAGAGGAUGAUCAGUCACACUGGAACUGAGACACGGUCCAGACUCCUACGGGAGGCAGCAGUGGGGAAUAUUGCACAAUGGGGGAAACCCUGAUGCAGCAACGCCGCGUGGAGGAUGACACAUUUCGGUGCGUAAACUCCUUUUAUAAGAGAAGAUAAUGACGGUAUCUUAUGAAUAAGCACCGGCUAACUCCGUGCCAGCAGCCGCGGUAAUACGGGGGGUGCAAGCGUUACUCGGAAUCACUGGGCGUAAAGAGCGUGUAGGCGGAUCUGUAAGUUGGGAGUGAAAGCCUAUGGCUCAACCAUAGAACUGCUUCCAAAACUGCAUGUCUAGAGUGUGGGAGAGGUAGAUGGAAUUUCUGGUGUAGGGGUAAAAUCCGUAGAGAUCAGAAGGAAUACCGAUUGCGAAGGCGAUCUACUGGAACAUAACUGACGCUGAGACGCGAAAGCGUGGGGAGCAAACAGGAUUAGAUACCCUGGUAGUCCACGCCCUAAACGAUGUACACUAGUUGUUGUGAGGUUCGACCUUGCAGUAAUGCAGUUAACACAGUAAGUGUACCGCCUGGGGAGUACGGUCGCAAGAUUAAAACUCAAAGGAAUAGACGGGGACCCGCACAAGCGGUGG
rnacentral:rRNA from 1 species